rnacentral:rRNA from 1 species
UGGGGAAUAUUGGACAAUGGGCGCAAGCCUGAUCCAGCCAUGCCGCGUGAGUGAUGAAGGCCCUAGGGUUGUAAAGCUCUUUCACCGGUGAAGAUAAUGACGGUAACCGGAGAAGAAGCCCCGGCUAACUUCGUGCCAGCAGCCGCGGUAAUACGAAGGGGGCUAGCGUUGUUCGGAUUUACUGGGCGUAAAGCGCACGUAGGCGGACUAUUAAGUCAGGGGUGAAAUCCCGGGGCUCAACCCCGGAACUGCCUUUGAUACUGGUAGUCUUGAGUUCGAGAGAGGUGAGUGGAAUUCCGAGUGUAGAGGUGAAAUUCGUAGAUAUUCGGAGGAACACCAGUGGCGAAGGCGGCUCACUGGCUAGAUACUGAAGCUGAGGUGCGAAAGCGUGGGGAGCAAACAGG